rnacentral:lncRNA from 1 species
CGGCUUGAUCUGUGGAAAACUCAGGGUUCCCGAGGCAAAAGUGUUUUUCUUUUUCUUUUGUUUUAGCAGAUUUCUAGGUGAACUUUGGAAAUCCAUAGAAAUUCAUAGAAAUUCACGAGGCAAAAGUGUUUUUCUUUUCUUUUUGGAAUCCUUGUGAAAUUCUCUAUGCAGUAGAUCUAUAAUAUGGCAUGGUUUAGUUUGAAGUUUUAGUCGUAAAAAUAGAUUUAUGCAGUUCGGUUUUAACUGCUUGUUAUAUUUGUCUUUUUCAUAACUGAUGUAGUAUAGCUCAAAGAAAUGUGAAAAUAUGGUGACGUGAUUUCCAUAUGACAAUUGAUAACUGGUAAUUGUUUCAUGAAUUUAGGAAUGGUAGAUUAAGAGUUAUAAAAAUAACAAAUGCCCUGUGUUGCUUUGCUCCUAUUCUGAGUAGGUCUGCAUGUUUGUAUUGUUUGGCUCUAUUAAGUUGUGAAUCUUGCCUGGAUGAAAAUAUAUGAGUUGUAGUACUUUUCAUAAGCUUUCCAUAAAGAUAAAUAGUACAAUUUUUGGUUAAGCACAUAUUUAGUUAUAGUGGUUUAAAGUACUGUUACAGUUUCUGUCUAAACCCAGACAGAAUUGCAUUGUUUGUUAUGUGAG